GACUUGGUCAAAGCUCCUCAGCAGGUUAUAACGGCUCUGAGGCGUUUAGAACAAGUUCA
rnacentral:miRNA from 1 species